rnacentral:rRNA from 1 species
GACAGAGGUGCCAAGCGUUAGGCGGAAUCACUGGGCUUAAAGCGUGUGUAGGCGGAAUGGUAAGUACCUUGUGAAAUCCCACGGCUCAACCGUGGAACUGCUGGGUAUACUGCUUUUCUUGAGCCACUUAGGGGCUGUCGGAACAAACGGUGGAGCGGUGAAAUGCGUAGAUAUCGUUUGGAACGCCGAAGGUGAAAACAGCUCGCUGGGGCCGCGCUGACGCUGAGACACGAAAGCCAGGGGAGCGAACGGG